CUAUAUCACGCCAGGCGGCGCUCCUAUAUCACACCAGGCGAUACUAUAUCACGCCAGGUGCUCCUAUAUCACGCCAGGCGGCGCUGUGUCACGCCAGGCGAUACUAUAUCACGCCAGGCGGCGCUCCUAUAUCACGCCAGGCGGCGCUGUGUCACGCCAGGCGAUACUAUAUCACGCCAGGCGGCGCUGUGUCACGCUAGGCGAUACUAUAUCACGCCAGGCGGCGCUCCUAUAUCACGCCAGGCGGCGCUCCUAUAUCACGCCAGGCGAUACUAUA
ensembl:lncRNA